GCUAAGUGGAAAGUAUUGCAAUAACAAAACUGUCAAGAGUAAGGUAGUAAUGCGUAUGAUACAGUCGAGAAAGGCAGAAAGAAACAUGUGCCUCUAAAAACCGGUGAUAAGCAACGAUAAUUCCAUUGUAGAGUGCAAGAAUAUCAAUUUUAUAAAUAAAUAAAUAUAAUAACAAUAUUUAUAAUCAACAAAGGUGUACGUGUGUGUAUUUGUUAAAUAUCAUAAAUUGCUUAAAUAUGAUGCAAGCAAUCUCAACAAAAUUGCCCAUCGUGAGUGGAUGUUACAUGAACAGCAGCAGCGGCAUUGCUCGCACAUUUGCAACCAGUCAAGCGUUGAGAGACAAGCAUGAGUGUCAAGUACUGAUUGUCGGUGGUGGUUCCGGCGGAUGCGCACUCGCAGCAAAAUUAUCAUCAAAAUUGGGCAAGCACAAAGUAACCGUUGUGGAGCCUGCCGAGCAACACUACUACCAACCAAUGUUCACUCUUAUUGGCGGCGGCAUGAAACGACUGGAGCAGUCUUAUAGGCCAAUGGCAGAAGUGCUGCCAAAAAAUAUUAACUGGAUUAAAUCGGAAGCAGUGGAAUUUGAUCCUAAAAAUAAUACAGUGAAAACGGCAAAUGGUACUAAUAUCAAAUAUGAUAUGCUUCUCUUGGCAACUGGCUUACAAUUAAACUAUGAGAAGAUCCCCGGCUUAGUGGAAGCACUAUCCAUACCAAAUGGCAAAGUUUGUUCAAAUUACUCACCCAAAUAUGUUGAUCGCACUUAUGCGUGUCUGCAAAACAUACAGGAAGGCAAUGCCAUUUUCACGUUCCCGGCAUCACCCGUCAAAUGCCCGGGUGCGCCACAGAAGAUUGUCUACAUCGCUGAGCACUAUUUCCGCAAGCUCGGCAAGCGCAACAAGAUUACGGUUACGUACAACACAUCGUUGCCCGUAAUUUUCGGCGUGAAACACUAUGCCGACGCGCUGUGGAAAGUCGUCGAAAAACGAGACAUCAAAGUGAAUUUGCUUCGCAACUUGAUUGAAGUGCGGCCUAAUGAAGAUGUGGCUGUAUUUCAAAAUCUCGACAAACCAGAGGAGAUAUUCGAGGAAAAGUUCGCCAUGUUACAUGUCACGCCACCGAUGAGCACACCAACUGUAUUGGCACAGUGCAAGGAAUUGGUGAAUGCGGCUGGCUUCGUUGAUGUGGACAAAUCAACGCUACAACAUCUGCGCUACAAGAAUGUCUUUGCUAUCGGCGAUUGCUCGGCUUCGCCCAACUCAAAGACUGCCGCAUCAGCAGCAGCACAAUCGCCUGUUGUAUAUCGCAAUAUGUUGGCUCAGCUGAAGGGAAAGGAACUGAAGAGCCUCUACGAUGGUUACGCUUCCUGUCCACUCGUCACUGGCUAUCACAGCUGUAUUUUGGCUGAAUUCGAUUAUGAUUUGAAACCAUUGGAAACAUUCCCGUUUGCACAGAAUAAGGAACGCUAUUCAAUGUUCUUUUUGAAAAAGGCCUUAAUGCCUACACUUUACUGGAAAGUCAUGUUGAAUGGCUAUUGGAAUGGGCCAGCGCUAAUGCGUAAAGUUUUAUCUGUACUGAAGUUGGAGAAGAAGGUGAAUGCAUAGAGGCAGUUUGCGAAAAAAAAGUAUGGCCUUUGAAUUUGUUAUUUGUGAGGAGAGGAUUACAAUAAAAGUGUUUUUACAGUAAAUUAUGCUGCUUAAGAAG
rnacentral:misc_RNA from 1 species